CCUACGGGAGGCAGCAGUGGGGAAUAUUGCACAAUGGGCGAAAGCCUGAUGCAGCGACGCCGCGUGAGGGAUGACGGCCUUCGGGUUGUAAACCUCUUUCAGCAGGGAAGAAGCGAAAGUGACGGUACCUGCAGAAGAAGCGCCGGCUAACUACGUGCCAGCAGCCGCGGUAAUACGUAGGGCGCAAGCGUUGUCCGGAAUUAUUGGGCGUAAAGAGCUCGUAGGCGGCUUGUCACGUCGGUUGUGAAAGCCCGGGGCUUAACCCCGGGUCUGCAGUCGAUACGGGCAGGCUAGAGUGUGGUAGGGGAGAUCGGAAUUCCUGGUGUAGCGGUGAAAUGCGCAGAUAUCAGGAGGAACACCGGUGGCGAAGGCGGAUCUCUGGGCCAUUACUGACGCUGAGGAGCGAAAGCGUGGGGAGCGAACAGGAUUAGAUACCCUGGUAGUCCACGCCGUAAACGGUGGGAACUAGGUGUUGGCGACAUUCCACGUCGUCGGUGCCGCAGCUAACGCAUUAAGUUCCCCGCCUGGGGAGUACGGCCGCAAGGCUAAACUUAAAUGAAUUGACGG
rnacentral:rRNA from 1 species